GAGGCUUCAGUAACAGCACUCCCUGUGCAAGCCACAAAUGGCAAUCCAAAAGCAGAGGCAAUCAGAUCUUUAGUCAGAGACCAACUCUGCUCAGGCUCCCAGGCUUCCAUAACAGAACCCAAACAGGCUGCUUCAGUGCUUCCACUUAGGUAUUUUGGGUUGCAUGUCAGAAGAAGGUAGAAAGGAGGUAUGAGAGGGCUGAUACAUUUCUUACAGGCAUUCACAGCCAUGUUCUACCAAGAGUCCAUGAGAGAGGGUGAAGAACACCUCAACAGAGAAAGCACCAUUUGAAGGAGCUCCCCUAACGUUGAAAGAAGAGGGUUUGAGCUCUGCUAGACUGUUAGAGGCACCUCCCUUGGCAGCCUGUGCCAGUGCUCUGACACCCUCACAGUGAAAAAAAAUCUUUCUCAGGCUCACAUGGACCCUCCUAUGCAUCAACAAGAUAUUUAAAUCAGAGCUGUUCUUUUCCCUUCCCUCUAACAAACACAAAGACAUAUGUCUGCAUAGGUCACCCUUUCCUCUGGGGAUUUUUAUGCACAUUUAAUUACCUGCAAGUAAAUCAUUUCCUGUGGCUGAGGAGCCAACAAAGCAUACUUCUAAGCUUUCUCCCUUCCAUCAGCAUCUACUUUCAUGAAACAUGUAUGAACUUUAGUGCCUUGGCCACAUCUGCCUCUCCAUCAAACGUGGCUGAAAUCAAUCCCUAGGUUCAAAAGUUACGAGGCAAGGUGUUAGUCUCUCACAUACGCACUCAGAACGAGACUGUAAUCUAAUUUCCUAAAGGAUGCACCAAAGACUGAACCUAAAAUAACAUGGCAUGGGUAAAACCUGUGUACAUCAGCCUCAGGAGACUCUGAGACUUGAUGGAAGCUUCCUGCAGCACUGCUGAAGUGGUUUUUAUUUCCCUCAACGCAGCUGUACCGAGAGCUUUUUCAUUUCUAACCUGGAGCAAUCUGUUGUUAAUACACACUGCUGCGAGCAGGCAGCAUCCUGAGGGAUCGAAGCUGACUGCAAUGCCAACACGCCCAGGAGAGAGCAAGCUGGGCUGUCUCGCAAGCUGCUCCCCUGAAUCACUUCCAGCAUGUUCUUUUAAUCUAGUUUUGGGGUGUUUUCUGAAGAAGAAAGCUCUUCUCAGGAGAAGGAAGAUAAAUGUAACUGCAAGUCUCUGCCUCCCUGGUUCGCCUCGCCAGUAGCAAAGCAGCGCAGGCGGAGCCGUCACUGCCUGGCGCUCGCCCUCCCAGCCCGGCCGGCUGCAGACUGCGGACAGGCAGCACCCACUCCA